CUGUGAUCACCACUCGCAUCACCUGCUAGUGGCCAGGAGAUAAUUAUGCAUCCCAUUUAGAGACACACAGGAAUCUAUAACUGCAACCAGUUUUGAUAGGUACCACUCCAGGAACAGGUGAGGACUCUCUAUAAGAGGAAAGUAAUGGAGGAAGGGAUGAUGUGCCUGGUGCUCCUGCUCUGCAAAUCUCUAGUAAUCAUGACCCUCAGAACUGGAGUCAGUGUUAGACUGUCAUCCAGGGUGAAGAGUUAGCUUUAUGAAGACCAUCUCUUCAGGACUGGUAGAUGAGUCUUCGGGGAGGUCCUGGUAAGGAACAUGGAACUAAUAAGCCACCACCAACCGGAAGAGUU